rnacentral:rRNA from 1 species
AUGUGCAUCCCGAAGAACGAAGGUGGAAUGGGAUUCAGAGACUUACACAGAUUUAAUCUUGCUAUGUUAGCAAAGCAGUGUUGGCGACUGAUCCAAGAUCUGGACUCUGUGUGUGCGCGUGUUCUCAGUGCAAAGUAUUACCCCGAUGGUAACAUUCUUAAUGCUGGCCCUAAGAAAGGCUCUUCUUAUACUUGGCAGAGUAUAGUUGUAACACCCACGAUGCGGCUAUAUCUCCCACGUGUCGGAGCACAACUUAGAGGCAUAACCGCAUAG